rnacentral:rRNA from 1 species
CCUACGGGUGGCAGCAGUGGGGAAUAUUGGGCAAUGGGCGCAAGCCUGACCCAGCAACGCCGCGUGAAGGAAGAAGGCUUUCGGGUUGUAAACUUCUUUUGUCAGGGAAGAGUAGAAGACGGUACCUGACGAAUAAGCCACGGCUAACUACGUGCCAGUAGCCGCGGUAAUACGUAGGUGGCAAGCGUUGUCCGGAGUUACUGGGUGUAAAGGGCGUGUAGCCGGGUUGACAAGUCAGAUGUGAAAUCCUGCGGCUUAACCGCAGAACUGCAUUUGAAACUGUUGAUCUUGAGUACUGGAGAGGCAGACGGAAUUCCUAGUGGAGCGGUGAAAUGCGUAGAUAUUAGGAGGAACAGCAGUGGCGAAGGCGGUCUGCUGGACAGCAACUGACGGUGAGGCGCGAAAGCGUGGGGAGCAAACAGGAUUAGAUACCCUUGUAGUC